AACGAACGCUGGCGGCGUGGAUAAGACAUGCAAGUCGAACGAGAUCUCUAGAUAGCUUGCUAACUGGAGUGACAGUGGCGGACGGGUGCGUAACACGUGAGCAACCUGCCCUGAAGUGGGGGAUAGCUCUCCGAAAGGAGGAUUAAUACCGCAUGUGGUCUUCGGAUCAAAGGUGGCUUCGGCUGCCGCUUCGGGAUGGGCUCGCGGCCUAUCAGCUUGUUGGUGAGGUAACGGCUCACCAAGGCGACGACGGGUAGCUGGUCUGAGAGGACGAUCAGCCACACUGGAACUGAGACACGGUCCAGACACCUACGGGUGGCAGCAGUCGAGAAUCAUUCACAAUGGGGGAAACCCUGAUGGUGCAACGCCGCGUGGAGGAUGACGGCCUUCGGGUUGUAAACUCCUGUCAUCUGGGAGUAAGCCUUAUUCGUUAAUAGCGUGUAAGGUUGAUAGUACCAGAAGAGGAAGGGACGGCUAACUUCG
rnacentral:rRNA from 1 species